CCAACCGUUAUUCCUGUUCAGACAACACCCUCCAGGGGGCAGUAAAUCCCCAACCUUUAUUCCUGUUCAGACAACACCCUCCAGGGGGCAGUAAAUCCCCAACCUUUAUUCCUGUUCAGACAACACCCUCCAGGGGGCAGUAAAUCCCCAACCUUUAUUCCUGUUCAGACAACACCCUCCAGGGGGCAGUAAAUCACCAUCCUUGUCUUUAUUCCUGUUCAGACAAGACCCUGCAGGGGGCAGUAAAUCCCCAACCUUUAUUCCUGUUCAGACAACACCCUCCAGGGGGCAGUAAAUCACCACCCUUGUCUUUAAACCUGUUCAGACAACACCCUCCAGGGGGCAGUAAAUCACCACCCUUGUCUUUAAACCUUUUCAGACAACACCCUGCAGGGGGCAGUACACCAUCCUUGUCUUUAUUCCUGUUCAGACAACACCCUCCAGGGGGCAGUAAAUCACCAUCCUUGUCUUUAUUCCUGUUCAGACAACACCCUCCAGGGCAGUAAAUCACCACCCUUGUCUUUAUUCCUGUUCAGACAACACCCUGCAGUGGGCAGUAAAUCACCACCCUUGUCUUUAAACCUGUUCAGACAACACCCUGCAGGGGGCAGUAAAUCACCAUCCUUGUCUUUAUUCCUGUUCAGACAACACCCUCCAGGGGGCAGUAAAUCACCAUCCUUGUCUUUAUUCCUGUUCAGACAACACCCUCCAGGGGGCAGUAAAUCACCACCCUUGUCUUUAAACCUGUUCAGACAACACCCUCCAGGGCAGUAAAUCACCAUCCUUGUCUUUAUUCCUGUUCAGACAACACCCUCCAGGGGGCAGUAAAUCACCAUCCUUGUCUUUAUUCCUGUUCAGACAACACCCUCCAGGGGGCAGUAAAUCACCAUCCUUGUCUUUAUUCCUGUUCAGACAACACCCUCCAGGGGGCAGUAAAUCACCACCCUUGUCUUUAAACCUGUUCAGACAACACCCUCCAGGGCAGUAAAUCACCAUCCUUGUCUUUAUUCCUGUUCAGACAACACCCUCCAGGGGGCAGUAAAUCACCAUCCUUGUCUUUAUUCCUGUUCAGACAACACCCUCCAGGGGGCAGUAAAUCACCACCCUUGUCUUUAAACCUGUUCAGACAACACCCUCCAGGGCAGUAAAUCACCAUCCUUGUCUUUAUUCCUGUUCAGACAACACCCUCCAGGGGGCAGUAAAUCACCAUCCUUGUCUUUAUUCCUGUUCAGACAACACCCUCCAGGGGGCAGUAAAUCACCACCCUUGUCUUUAAACCUGUUCAGACAACACCCUGCAGGGGGCAGUAAAUCACCAUCCUUGUCUUUAUUCCUGUUCAGACAACACCCUCCAGGGGGCAGUAAAUCACCAUCCUUGUCUUUAUUCCUGUUCAGACAACACCCUCCAGGGGGCAGUAAAUCACCACCCUUGUCUUUAAACCUGUUCAGACAACACCCUCCAGGGCAGUAAAUCACCAUCCUUGUCUUUAUUCCUGUUCAGACAACACCCUCCAGGGGGCAGUAAAUCACCAUCCUUGUCUUUAUUCCUGUUCAGACAACACCCUCCAGGGCAGUAAAUCACCAACCUUUAUUCCUGUUCAGACAACAGCCUCCAGGGCAGUAAAUCACCAACCUUUAUUCCUGUUCAGACAACACCCUGCAGUGUGCACCCUUUCAGUUGGUUUACCAACAUAGAAACCGAAGAAGAAAAAUAAACUUCUUCAAAAUGGAGAUGGCAUGGGCAGCGCCACUGAGGCUCUCAAGACGCCAGAAGAAAUCAAAUGUAUUUAUAUAGCCCUUCGUACAUCAGCUGAUAUCUCAAAGUGCUGUACAGAAACCCAGCCUAAAACCCCAAACAGCAAGCAAUGCAGGUGUAUAGGAGAGGCGAUAUCUCAGUCCACGGGCUUAACGUUUUGGAGUCAGGUCUCUACCUGUGAUGAAAGAACCCGACUCUGAACUCACUAUGCCUUCAUCUGAAUAUUAGGAAACACUUCAUGUUGGUGUGUUGCAGCCGUAUAUUCCAUCUGUUGCUUGGAUGUAGACUUCCUUCUGUGGCUCAGUUGGUAGAGCAUGGCGCUUGUAACGCCAGGGUAGUGGGUUCAAUUCCCGGGACCACCCAUACGUAGAAUGUAUGCACACAUGACUGUAAGUCGCUUUGGAUAAAAGCGUCAGCUAAAUGGCAUAUAUUACCUGAAUAAGUUUAAUAUAAUGCAUAGAAUUUGGAGAUUUAAUCUAAGGCACCGAACAACAAAAAAACAAAAAACACAUGAAGUUGUUGCGUUACAGAACGUGUGACUUUUGUGACUGAUGAAAACAGCCCAGAUGUGUACAAGUACAGCGUUUCAAUAUGAUGUAUAGAGUCGGGAAUGACUCCAUCAUGAGUUCCAUGUGUUUAAUUCGUUAUAUAAUCUCUACCAUCUGAUUUAAAUAACUCUGUAAAAGGCUGUAAGCUUUAGGAUCCAUUGAACCGUACAAAAAAAAUAAAGUUUUCCAUUUUAAAUACA